AGUGAACGCUGGCGGUAGGCCUAACACAUGCAAGUCGAACGGCAGCACAGUAAGAGCUUGCUCUUACGGGUGGCGAGUGGCGGACGGGUGAUGAAUACAUCGGAAUCUACUUUUUCGUGGGGGAUAACGUAGGGAAACUUACGCUAAUACCGCAUACGACCUACGGGUGAAAGCAGGGGAUCUUCGGACCUUGCGCGAUUGAAUGAGCCGAUGUCGGAUUAGCUAGUUGGCGGGGUAAAGGCCCACCAAGGCGACGAUCCGUAGCUGGUCUGAGAGGAUGAUCAGCCACACUGGAACUGAGACACGGUCCAGACUCCUACGGGAGGCAGCAGUGGGGAAUAUUGGACAAUGGGCGAAAGCCUGAUCCAGCCAUACCGCGUGGGUGAAGAAGGCCUUCGGGUUGUAAAGCCCUUUUGUUGGGAAAGAAAAGCAGCAGGUUAAUACCCCGCUGCUCUGACGGUACCCAAAGAAUAAGCACCGGCUAACUUCGUG
rnacentral:rRNA from 1 species